rnacentral:rRNA from 1 species
UACGGGGGGGGGCAAGCGUUGUUCGGAAUUACUGGGCGUAAAGGGCGCGUAGGCGGCCUUCUAAGUCGGACGUGAAAUCCCUCGGCUUAACCGAGGAACUGCGUCCGAUACUGAAAGGCUUGAAUCCGGGAGAGGGAUGUGGAAUUCCAGGUGUAGCGGUGAAAUGCGUAGAUAUCUGGAGGAACACCGGUGGCGAAGGCGGCAUCCUGGACCGGCAUUGACGCUGAGGCGCGAAAAGCUAGGGGAGCAAACGGG